UAUUGUCCGUUCAGUUAGAAAAAUGUCAAUCAAUGACAAAGAAGGAGCCUGUUCUGAAAUUCAGGGAAAAACACUGAAGUUUCCAGGUGGCAUUUCAAGAAGACCUUCAAGUUAACAAAGAUCAGGAACAAUGGGCGAAGAACUAACAAGCUACCUCGGAACUGAAGUAGGACAUCCACCCAGUUUCAUCAUUUGGUCUUUUUGAGAAGAAGCCAAUACAUGUGAACACUGGACUCUGAAAAUAAUUUGUGACAUCUGAAGCAGGAAUCCCCAUCCUUAAUCUUUCCU